CUGUUGUUUUCUGAGAGGGAUAUAUAUAUAUUUUGUGCUGAAGUAGGCCAUUUUUGUUUUCCAUUUUGGACACAAGUCUCCAUUUAUUUUCUGAGCAGGUGUCUCUAUUGUUUUCUAAGAGGGAUAUAUAUAUUUUGUGCCGAAGUAGGCCAUUUUUGGUUUCCAUUUUGGACACAAGUCUCCAUUUAUUUUCUGAGCAGAUCCUGUCCCUGAAUGCUAAGUUCCCAGGGAACUCCCAUGAUGCCCAUGCCAUUAGACAAUCAGGGAUAUGGCAACGAUUAAGAACGAUGGAAGGCCAAGACAUGUGGCUAUUGGGAGACCAUGGAUAUCCUUGCACCCCCUGGCUCAUGACUCCUUACAGUAAACCCAGGCCAGGACCACAGUCGGCAUUUAACUCCACGCUUACUGCCACUAGACAGCUGGUAGAGUGCACGAUUGGUGUUCUUAAAGGGUGUUUUCGUGUGCUCCACC